rnacentral:rRNA from 1 species
AGUGAACGCUGGCGGUAGGCCUAACACAUGCAAGUCGAACGGCAGCACAGUAAGCGCUUGCUCUUACGGGUGGCGAGUGGCGGACGGGUGAGGAAUACAUCGGAAUCUACUUUUUCGUGGGGGAUAACGUAGGGAAACUUACGCUAAUACCUCAUAUGACCUACGGGUGAAAGCAGGGGAUCUUCGGACCUUGCGCGAUUGAAUUAGCCGAUGUCGGAUUAGCUAGUUGGCGGGGUAAAGGCCCACCAAGGCGACGAUCCGUAGCUGGUCUGAGAGGAUGAUCAGCCACACUGGAACUGAGACACGGUCCAGACUCCUACGGGAGGCAGCAGUGGGGAAUAUUGGACAAUGGGCGAAAGCCUGAUCCAGCAAUACCGCGUGAGUGAAGAAGGCCUUCGGGUUGUAAAGCCCUUUUGUUGGGAAAGAAAAGCAGCAGGUUAAUACCCCGCUGUUCUGACGGUACCCAAAGAAUAAGCACCGGCUAACUUCGUG